rnacentral:rRNA from 1 species
AGUGAACGCUGGCGGCGUGCCUAAUACAUGCAAGUCGAACGGAGUGGCGCACGGGUGAGUAAUAUGUAGCUAAUCUGCCCCUUGCUGGAGGACAACAGUUAGAAAUGGCUGCUAAUACUCCAUAGCAAGGGAUGAGACUAUAUCGUAUCAGCUAGUCGGUGGGGUAACGGCCUACCGAGGCUAUGACGCGUAACUGGUCUGAGAGGAUGAUCAGACAAAGUCGAAGUGAGACACGGGACAAACUCCUACGGCAGGAAGCAGGAGUGAAUAAUGCGCAAUGGGGGAAACCCUGAGGGAGCAACGGGGCGUGGAGGAUGUCACUUUUCGGAGAGUAAACUCCUUUUGUUAGGGAGGCGGUACCUAAAGAAUAAGCACCGGCUAACUCCGUGCCAGCAGCCGCGGUAAUAC